GGUGUGUGUAUGGGGGAGGAGGCCCGAAGCUGGCGGGAAGUGGUGGGGCCGGUUGGCCUCCUCCUCCUUUCCCCUCCCAGUCUCUGAGCCCGAGUUCCUGGUCCCAGGAGGUCCCGUGCCCCCAUUUCUAGGGGCUUCCCGGUCCCGGUUAACCAGGCCAAGUACCAAGUCAGAAUCCAGCCUCCCUGGCGUUAUCUGUGCGGAGACCUUGGGCUCAUCACCCCAGUGCGGGGGUCCCACUGACUCGGUGGUAAGGGCUUUCUCCCGGGGACAGCGCAGGAACGGGCAAAAUCAGUCCUUUUACGGAAGGAGAAGCCCGGCCUGUAAGAUGGAAAGUGACUUGUUGGGGUCACCCGGCAAGUAAGCGGCAGAGUUGGAUUCUAACCUGCUCUGACUCCAGAACCUGCAUCCCCCACUCUGCCAGAGGUCAGACUCAGACGGUGUCCCGGACUCCUGGCCCAACCACACAGAAACCUUGCUGUCCCCCAUCAUGAUUGUUUCUGUGAUUCCUCCAUCCACGCACAAAGCUCCACUUCAUAAACCUUAACUGUUAUCGAGUAUCCCUUGUUGGAAGAAACCACAGUGGCUACUUCUUCUAUUCAAGCAGGAAAUACCUUUCACAUGGGCUUCCAGCAAGCACUUAAAAAUAUACAUAAUGCCACGGAAAUUGCAAGAAACCACACUUAACCCUCAUUAGGCCUCACACAUGGUGUUAUUUGCAAUUCAUUUUAUUUUUAUUUGGAUUAAGAAGUGCUGAUUGUAACGGGGCACCACGGCUCACAAUCCCAGCACUUUAGGAGGCUGAGGAGGGUGCAUCACCUGAGCUCAGGAGUUCAAGACCAGCCUGGGCAACAUGAUCAGACUUCAUCUCUACUAAAAAUACAAAAAAAACAUAGACGGGUGUGGUGGUGCGCGUCUGUGGUCGCCGCCACUGGGUGGAAGGGGGAGCGAUGGAGGUUGCAGUGAGCCGAGACCAUGUCACUGCACUUCAGCCUGGGUGACAGCUGAAGGCGUGAUCUUGGCUCACUGCAACCUCUGCCUCUCGGGUUCGAGCG